rnacentral:lncRNA from 1 species
UGUCAUUUUAGACCAAAUUACACCCUUUAAGACUCAGAAUGAGCUUAAAAUCAAGUAAAACCGAAUAAAUGAGUCAGUCGAGAGUCAAAAGCUGUUUUUAGCGAUAUUAUACUUGUUUUGCAUUGUUUUGAAGCUAUUUUGAUGAAAGUGAAGAUGGGGACUGAAGAUGAAGGUCGUAGACUCAAGACAGAAGAAGAAAAUUGAAGAAAAGAAUAGUCUAGGAAUCGCCCGGUGGCAAAAUUGCACCGCUGGACGGUCCAGAGCGAGGAGGAGGCACCUGGCGUGGACGCUGGGCGGAUUUACGAUUAGAGGCAAACCGUCGGGCGAUGGCCCCCUGUCGCCGGACGGUGGCGUGAUUAAGGGCAAACCGCCGGGCGACAUAAGUUUGCCUCGGGCGGUUGUCCGCUGGGCUUGGG